rnacentral:rRNA from 1 species
CGUGGCAUCGAUCGGUAGGGGUUCUGAGAGGAAGGUCCCCCACAUUGGAACUGAGACACGGUCCAAACUCCUACGGGAGGCAGCAGUGAGGAAUAUUGGUCAAUGGGCGGAAGCCUGAACCAGCCAAGUAGCGUGAAGGACGACUGCCCUAUGGGUUGUAAACUUCUUUUAUGCGGGGAUAAAGUUCGCCACGUGUGGCGUUUUGCAGGUACCGCAUGAAUAAGGACCGGCUAAUUCCGUGCCAGCAGCCGCGGUAAUACGGAAGGUCCAGGCGUUAUCCGGAUUCAUUGGGUUUAAAGGGAGCGUAGGCCGCCUUUUAAGCGUGUUGUGAAAUGUAGGGGCUCAACCCCUGCACUGCAGCGCGAACUGGAGGGCUUGAGUACACACAAAGUAGGCGGAAUUCAUGGUGUAGCGGUGAAAUGCUUAGAUAUCAUGAAGAACCCCGAUUGCGAAGGCAGCUUACUGGAGUGUAACUGACGCUGAAGCUCGAAAGCGCGGGUAUCGAACAGGAUUAGAUACCCUGGUAGUCCGCGCGGUAAACGAUGGAUGCCCGCUGUUUGCCA